rnacentral:rRNA from 1 species
UGGGGAAUAUUUCACAAUGGGCGCAAGCCUGAUGCAGCCAUGCCGCGUGUAUGAAGAAGGCCUUCGGGUUGUAAAGUACUUUCAGCGAGGAGGAAGGCGUUGUGGUUAAUAACCGCAGCGAUUGACGUUACUCGCAGAAGAAGCACCGGCUAACUCCGUGCCAGCAGCCGCGGUAAUACGGAGGGUGCAAGCGUUAAUCGGAAUUACUGGGUGUAAAGCGCACGCAGGCGGUCUGUCAAGUCGGAUGUGAAAUCCCCGGGCUCAACCUGGGAACUGCAUCCGAAACUGGCAGGCUAGAGUCUUGUAGAGGGGGGUAGAAUUCCAGGUGUAGCGGUGAAAUGCGUAGAGAUCUGGAGGAAUACCGGUGGCGAAGGCGGCCCCCUGGACAAAGACUGACGCUCAGGUGCGAAAGCGUGGGGAGCAAACA